GACGAACGCUGGCGGCGUGCCUAAUACAUGCAAGUUGAGCGCUGAAGGUUGGUACUUGUACCAACUGGAUGAGCAGCGAACGGGUGAGUAACGCGUGGGGAAUCUGCCUUUGAGCGGGGGACAACAUUUGGAAACGAAUGCUAAUACCGCAUAAAAACUUUAAACACAAGUUUUAAGUUUGAAAGAUGCAAUUGCAUCACUCAAAGAUGAUCCCGCGUUGUAUUAGCUAGUUGGUGAGGUAAAGGCUCACCAAGGCGAUGAUACAUAGCCGACCUGAGAGGGUGAUCGGCCACAUUGGGAAUGAGACACGGCCCAAACUACUACGGGAGGCAGCAGUAGGGAAUCUUCGGCAAUGGACGAAAGUCUGACCGAGCAACGCCGCGUGAGUGAAGAAGGUUUUCGGAUCGUAAAACUCGGUUGGUAGAGAAGAACGUUGGUGAGAGUGGAAAGCUCAUCAAGUGACGGUAACUACCCAGAAAGGGACGGCUAACUACGUG
rnacentral:rRNA from 1 species